rnacentral:rRNA from 1 species
UAAUACGUAGGGUCCUAGCGUUGUCCGGAUUUAUUGGGCGUAAAGAGCUCGUAGGCGGUUCGGCAAGUCGGAUGUGAAAUCUCCACGCUUAACGUGGAGGGGCCAUUCGAAACUGCCGUGACUCGAGUCCGGUAGGGGAGUGUGGAAUUCCCGGUGUAGCGGUGAAAUGCGCAGAUAUCGGGAGGAACACCAGUAGCGAAGGCGGCACUCUGGGCCGUGACUGACGCUGAGGAG